GAUGAACGCUGGCGGCGUGCUUAACACAUGCAAGUCGAACGGGAUCCCAGGAGCUUGCUCCUGGGUGAGAGUGGCGAACGGGUGAGUAAUGCGUGACCGACCUGCCCCAUACACCGGAAUAGCUCCUGGAAACGGGUGGUAAUGCCGGAUGCUCCAGUUGGAUGCAUGUCCUUCUGGGAAAGAUUCAUCGGUAUGGGAUGGGGUCGCGUCCUAUCAGCUUGAUGGCGGGGUAACGGCCCACCAUGGCUUCGACGGGUAGCCGGCCUGAGAGGGCGACCGGCCACAUUGGGACUGAGAUACGGCCCAGACUCCUACGGGAGGCAGCAGUGGGGAAUAUUGCACAAUGGGCGCAAGCCUGAUGCAGCGACGCCGCGUGCGGGAUGACGGCCUUCGGGUUGUAAACCGCUUUUGACUGGGAGCAAGCCCUUCGGGGUGAGUGUACCUUUCGAAUAAGCACCGGCU
rnacentral:rRNA from 1 species